rnacentral:rRNA from 1 species
GAUGAACGCUGGCGGCGUGCCUAAUACAUGCAAGUCGAGCGAACAGACCAGGAGCUUGCUCCUCUGACGUUAGCGGCGGACGGGUGAGUAACACGUGGAUAACCUACCUAUAAGACUGGGAUAACUUCGGGAAACCGGAGCUAAUACCGGAUAAUAUAUUGAACCGCAUGGUUCAAUAGUGAAAGACGGUUUUGCUGUCACUUAUAGAUGGAUCCGCGCCGCAUUAGCUAGUUGGUAAGGUAACGGCUUACCAAGGCAACGAUGCGUAGCCGACCUGAGAGGGUGAUCGGCCACACUGGAACUGAGACACGGUCCAGACUACUACGGGAGGCAGCAGUAGGGAAUCUUCCGCAAUGGGCGAAAGCUUGACGGAGCAACGCCGCGUGAGUGAUGAAGGUCUUCGGAUCGUAAAACUCUGUUAUUAGGGAAGAACAAAUGUGUAAGUAACUAUGCACGUCUUGACGGUACCUAAUCAGAAAGCCACGGCUAACUACGUG